rnacentral:rRNA from 1 species
UGCCAGCCGCCGCGGUAACACGGGGGGCGCAAGCGUUGUUCGGAAUCAUUGGGCGUAAAGCGCGCGUAGGCGGUUGGAUAAGUCGGAUGUGAAAGCCCGGGGCUCAACCCCGGAAGUGCAUUCGAAACUGUUCAACUUGAGUCUCGGAGAGGGUAGCAGAAUUCCUGGUGUAGAGGUGAAAUUCGUAGAUAUCAGGAGGAAUACCGGUGGCGAAGGCGGCUACCUGGACGAAGACUGACGCUGAGGUGCGAAAGCGUGGGGAGCAAACAGGAUUAGAUA